CGCAAGCUCCUCCUAGAUUGCAGCUACUACCACUCCAAGAACUCCAACCUAGACGGAGGAAGGAACAUCAUGGAGGCCGCUUGCCGCAUAAGAGGCUGGAGCGGCAAGUUUGGUGUGGCUGCUCCUCCAUGCAAAGGCUGAGAUCCAACACUGACCACAGGCAAGCCCCAUGGAAUUCACCGCUUCUCUACGUGUUGCUGGAGGAUGGCUCACAGCAUGCGAAGCAUUUAGCUUAGGUGAGAUCUUCUCUUUUUCACUUGGGUUCUUUUUUCUUAUGUCUAUAUUUAUGAAUUUCUAUCACUGUUUUGCACAUUCCUUACUGGGAAUAAACAGAGGGGAAGCUUGAAGGCAUUUUAUCUAGGAAAAUGUGCAUGCUCCAAUGUAUGAUCAGAGUUUUUAAUUAAUUAUGUUUGCUUCAUCUGAUCCUAUUUGAGAGUUCCUCUCUCUGUUUUUAGUUGAUCUUCUUGCAUCCUU